rnacentral:rRNA from 1 species
UACAGAGGUCUCAAGCGUUGUUCAGAUUCAUUGGGCGUAAAGGGUGCGUAGGCGGCGCGGUAAGUCGGGUGUGAAAUCUUGGAGCUUAACUCCGAAACUGCAUUCGAUACUGCCGUGCUUGAGGACUGGAGAGGAGACUGGAAUUUACGGUGUAGCGGUGAAAUGCGUAGAUAUCGUAAGGAAGACCAGUGGCGAAGGCGGGUCUCUGGACAGUUCCUGACGCUGAGGCACGAAGGUCAGGGGAGCAAACGGG